CUUAGACUUUUUUUUUCUUUUUCAAAUUCAGAUGGUGAGAACUGGUCUGAAUGUACAAUUCAGUCUUACUGUUUUCCAUCAAGGUGUCACCAAUCUUCCAGUCUCCCAGGCAGAAGUUUUUGAGAGACAAAUGGAUGGAAAAACUUUUUGGCCCUCUUCCUUAGGAUCAGAAGGUCACAGAACGUUUUCCUGAAUCGGAUUCUGGGUUAAAGCUGCCAGUAGGAAGAAUUCACAUGAGAUUUCAAAGGUGGAAGAGAAGGAGAAGGUGUUUUUUUCUUGCAACAGUUUGGCUGGGGAGCUGAGAUCUUCACUGAGGGCUUCCUUUGGCUCCGGGUUCCCGUGGACAGGCAGCCGAUGUCAUCAGUGGUGGCUUCUCUGUGAUCACUAUACCACCAGGUCUCCUAAAGUGGCCUUCUUGACCUUUGCCUCCCCAGCUCUUUCAAUGGUUAUGUGAAACUCUAAUUAUGUACAUUAAAUAUCUUUCAGCUCAUAAUACAUAGAGUCAUUUCCCUCCCC
rnacentral:lncRNA from 1 species